AAAGACUUUGACAUAUUUUGUUGUCACUGCGCAGACGCUUUGGGUUUCAACAGUAGUUUCUGUUGUGUGUACCUUGUUUUGUGCUAUGCUUUGGUGGAGUAUGGUGAUUUCGUUUCGCUUUGCUUUCUUUUUAUUGCAACAUGUGUCCAUUUAAGAAUAUAAUGAAAGAGUGUAUGAAGGAAUUCAGCAUCGGAAACAAAGGCCAGUUUUGCGGCAUUUGUUCAUCCGAGGAAGAAAUCGAUUACCUUUUUACCAGGCUCAAAUGUGUUGGGUAUUCUUAUUCAGUGAGGAGCAGCGCUUAUAACAGAUUAUCCUCCGGCGUUACAACCAGUAAACCACGAUUCUUCUUCAGUCAGUCACAAGGGACUAUUCAAAUUCCAUUUUUUGGGUCACCAUUUUCGGUUGAGUAUGUAAGCUACAGGCAAUGUACACUCGGUCCAAUGUACUAUGAUAAGAACGAGAUUCCUGUUCCUUAUCACCUGAGUUUCUCCAAAGAAGUAUUCCAUAAUGCAAAUGUGUAUGGAAAAAGGUGUAGUAUGCCAUAAGCAUGCACUCCUUAGUGACACAAUCCUUAAGUUUCCUAAGGAGAUAUAAAACUCUUGCCAACUUACUGCAGCUCUCUUCUGUGUUGACCAUAUCAUCCCAAAUAAAAAGCAAAAGUUGUUUAUGGAUACCAAGAAAAGUGACUGUCCUGCCACAUUUUUAGUAAAAUGUGUCAGAGUUUAUCCUAGCUAUUUAGUCCUGUCAGAGAAUGAUCGCAAGACAAAAAAAAUGGUUAUUGAUAGCUUGAAGAAGCAUUUGGAGUUACCCAAUAAACCAGAAAGCUUUCUUCGCUUGUAUGUGGUUGCUUCACCACCAGAGCACCACACACACAGUGCAGCACAUAUGAAAACAAGUGGAGAUCUGCAUCCUCGGCUAGCUUUGGAAAUACGGAACCAUGUCAAAAAUGGAACAACAUCAGUAAGAGAAAUAAAAUUGCUUCUUGAAAAGUUUGUUGAGACAAACUUCAGUGGGCCAGCUAGACCAGACCGUGUAAACACUGCAUUUUACCCCACAGACAAAACCAUUUAUAAUCAUGUGUAUAGGACAAGAAAGAGAAUUUUUGGUGAAGAUUCAUUAGAGAUCCAGAUUGAUAAGGCAUAUGGAUGUGACUCAAGCAGAAGGUGUACUGCACCAAUUAAUUCUGUAAGAAAUGGUGUACAGAAUACCAGCAAAAGCGAUGAAAGGAACAAAAAGCGUGCCAGUCCUGAAAAAUCAAGCUCUUGUUCAUCCCUGUCUCAAGAGGCAAGAGACAUAUGUAAAAAUAUUAUAGAGCUCACAUACAAUUGCAGUGAUGAAACAAUAAAAAAUCUUGUAGAUGACCUUCAAAAUGUGCAGCGUAGUGUAGAAUUGUCAUACCAUGCAGGCAGUGACCUUCCUUCAACAGUGGCAACAAAUUCUAAAAUAGAGAAACAUAUUUGAACAGUGAAAUUGGCACGAGGAAUCAAAUUUCGCUGAAUAUGCUGCACUCAAAAGUCUGGAGCAGCUCAAGAACCGGAAAAAACUUAAAACUGAUGUAUGUCUGAAGCUUCAGAGCAAAACCAGAUGUAGCUGUACAAUAAGAUAAGUAAAAAUGAAUUACACUGCAUGUAUUUUCUAAAAGAUAGUUCACCUAAACUAUAACAUGAGGGAUCUAGGGAAGUUAAAAACAAUAUUUCAUACAAAAGAUAUCGACAUUUUAUUAUUAACCCUUUGAUUGUGGCUGACUGCUACAGCAGUCCAAGUGUGCCAUGCCCUGGAUGCUGCUGACUGCCACAGCAUUUCAUUGCUGCCAUGCCCAGGGUGCUGCGAACUUCUGUAGAAGUUCUGAGACAUUCAGUCGCCUAUUGUUUAGCUGUGCUUGAAUAAGACGUCUGUUUGUUUGCAGUGCUACUGGCAGACUCUCACCACACCUUAUCGUUUGCUCUAACUGCAACAUGAUUGGUCUAAGGUGCUGCAGUCAUGGACUGUGCGGCUGGUCCCGGCGGAGGUUCGAGUCCUCCCUCAGACGAAUGGAAAAACUGGUAGAAGCCAACCUCGGGGAAGAUCAGUUUGGAUUCCGUAGAAAUAUUGGAACAUCUGAGGCAAUACUGACCUUACGACUUAUCUUAGAAGAAAGAUUAAGGAAAGGCAAACCUAUGUUUCUAGCAUUUGUAGACUUAGAGAAAGCUUUUGACAAUGUUGACUGGAAUACUCUCUUUCAAAUUCUAAAGGUGGCAGGGGUAAAAUACUGUGAGCGAAAGGCUAUUUACAAUUUGUACAGAAAGUAGAUGGCAGUUAUAAGAGUCGAAGGGUAUGAAAGGGAAGCAGUGGUUGGGAAGGGAGUGAGACAGGGUUGUAGCCUAUCUCCGAUGUUAUUCAAUCUGUAUAUUGAGCAAGCAGUAAAGGAAACAAAAGAAAAAUUUGGAGUAGGUAUUAAAAUCCAUGGGGAAGAAAUAAAAACUUCGAGGUUCGCCGAUGACAUUGUAAUUCUAUCAGAGACAGCAAAGGACUUGGAAGAGCAGUAGAACGGAAUGGACAGUGUCUUGAAAGGAGGAUGUAAGAUGGACAUCAACAAUAGCAAAACGAGGAUAAUGGAAUGUGGUCGAAUUAAGUCGGGUGAUGCUGAGAGAAUUAGAUUAGGAAAUGAGACACUUAAAGUAGUAAAGGAGUUUUGCUAUUUGGGGAGCAAAAUAACUGAUGAUGGUCGAAGUAGAGAUGAUAUAAGAUGUAGACUGGUAAUGGCAUGGAAAGCGUUUCUGAAGAAGAGAAAUUUCUUAACAUCGAGUAUAGUUUUAAGUGUCAGGAAGUCGUUUCUGAAAGUAUUUGUGUGGAGUGUAGCCAUGUAUAGAAGUGAAACAUUGACGAUAAAUAAUUUGGACAAGAAGAGAAUAGAAGCUUUCAAAAUGUGGUGCUACAGAAGAAUGCUGAAGAUUAGAUGGGUAGAUCACAUAACUAAUGUUGAAGUAUUGAAUAGAAUUGCGGAGAAGAGGAGUAUGUGGCACAACUUGACAAAAAGAAGGGAACGUUUAGUAGGACAUGUUCUGAGGCAUCAAGGGAUCACAAAUUUAGCAUUGGAGGGCAGCGUGGAGGGUAAAAACUGUAGAGGGAGACAAAGAGAUGAAUACACUAAGCAGAUUCAGAAGGAGGUGGGCUGCAGUAAGUACUGGGAGAUGAAGAUGCUUGCACAGGAUAGGGUAGCAUGGAGAGUUGCAUCAAACCAGUGUCAGUACUGAAGACCACAACAAGAACAUCAUCUUCAUGUGCAAAUUUCUUAAGUCCACAGUAAUCGGUAAUGUUUCAAAAUCGUGAUGUUUAUUAAAAAGUAAUAGUAGCACAUGUUAUUGCCAGUAAGACUUUGUUAGUAAGUUCACAUGUCGUUUCUGCAUUUGUUCAUUAUACUGCUUAGUAGUUUCUGCCAAUAGCAAAUAUUAUUGCGAGACAGUAUGUAUUGCUGCAUUUCUUGGCGAUUCUGCAGUCUGCAUAAGGAUUAGCUGCUGUAUUGUUUGCUAGGGCAAGUUACUGUAUAACAUGGAGAAUAACUGUAAUAGAAGCGAUUAGUUACGGAAUGAGGUGAGUUUAGUUCCAUUAGGUGAAGCCAUGCGGGGUAGGGGGUAGCCACGCAGUCUCAGGCGCUUUGCCACAGUUCGCGUGGCUUCCCCCGUUGGAGGUUCGAAUCCUCCCUCUGGCAUGGGUGUGCAUAUGUUGACUUUAGCAUAAGGUGGUUUAGGAACUUGCCACCUCCCUUAGCGGAAGUUUAUUUCCGGUUUACCAUAAAACGUGACACUGCAAUGCCUAAUUAGGCUGGCGAUCUCAUGUAUGUAUAAUUACAGUAUACUUUUGUAAUAGUAGAAUGGUAGUUGAAAACCUGUUUACUUUGCUGCUUGUUUCAGUAACUUCGUGAUUACGAAAUUAUAGUCCGAUUUCUUGUCAUUGGGUACAAUCACUGUCAGGCUAAAGCCCUUCAUGGAAGGUUAACAUUAUCGACGAUUGCCAAUUUGGCAAUGGCCAUUAGUGUUACAUUUGACACCAUGUGACCGCACAUUUUAUUGGUUUUUGUUCAGCAAAUACAGUAAACAGCUUAACUAAGAAGCAAGAAACUACAGGGUGUCACAGUGAGACUCCAACAUUUUAAUAUUCUAUAUCUUUCUCAUUACAGAUGGUGGACCUGUGAAUCCUGAAGGGGCAGACAGAGCAACGCAACAAGUUUGUGGUGUGCAAAUUUAAUACGCCAAGUGGCCAUAGUGGAGAUGCAGUCAGUUAUUUUAGCAAAAUGGAGGAUAUGAAGGGGCGUGCACAAGUGGUAGGUGGUAUGCAGAGACAAAAUCGGCGACCCAAGUGCAAAGAAACUUUCGUCAAUUUACAACAAAGUGCCCCUUGUCAUUCAAGACUAUAAAGAAGUGGUGUGAUCAGUUUUUGGCUACUGGGAGUGUUGCGAAAGGGCAUGGUGGUGGUAAGCCUGGGAUCAGCAGAUAUCAUGUGGAACAUGUGCGACAGUCAUUCGAACAAAGUCCACAGAAGUCAGUGCGACAGGCAGCACGAGAACUUCGUAUGAAACGUUCAACAGUGCACAAAGUGCUUCAUCAGUGAUUACGUUUGUACGCAUAUAAAGUGCAGGUUAUGCAAGAAAUCAAGCCUGAUGAUCGACCAAAGUGAGAAGAAUUUGCAUGUAUCAUGUUAGAUUGCAUUGUCGCGGACAAGACAUUUUUAUCAUAAUGUUUACUGACGAGGCAACCUUUCACUUGUCAGGGGCUGUCAACUGUCACAAGGUGCGCAAUUGGGGGUCCGAAAAUCCACAUACACCUAGGGAACACAUGCCCGACAGUCCGAAAGUUAAUGUGUGGUGUGGUUGAAUGAUAAAUCAUAUUAUUGGGCAGUUUUUCUUUCAGGAGCCAACUGUGGAUGUAGCCAUCUACCUGGACAUGUUAGAACAAUUUGUCGUGCCAUAGAUAACAGACCUGCAGCCAAAUUUGAUGUUUCAACAAGAUGGUGCACCACCCUAUUGGAGCCUUGAUGUCCGAAAAUUUUUAAAUGACACAUUCCCGCAAUGAUGGAUUGGCUGUGGAGGUCUAAUUCAUUGGCUGCCAUGAUCGCCCAAUAUAACUCCCCUCGAUUUUUUCUCGUGGGAUUAUGUGAAAGACCGGGUAUACGCUACACCAGUAAAGGACCUACAAGACUUGAAACAGUGCAUAAGAAUUGUCAUCAACUCGUGUGUCACAGAACAGAUGCUCCACAGAACAUGGCACGAAAUUGAUUGUAGACUUGAUAUUCUUUGCACUACCCGUGGCACCCAUGUUCAAGUGUAUUGAACCGUCCACCUGUGUAUGAAAACUUGAUGAGCUACUGUAUGAGUUCCCUGUAUUUGUUCGUCAAUAAAUUGUGUUUCCUCUCGGA